UAGACCUGAGGUCAGGCAAGACCACCCGCUGAAC
rnacentral:rRNA from 1 species